rnacentral:rRNA from 1 species
CACACGUACUACAAUGGUCGGAACAGAGGCCUGCAAGCUCGCGAGAGCAAGCUAAUCUCGUAAACCCGGCCUCAGUUCAGAUUGCAGGCUGCAACUCGCCUGCAUGAAGGAGGAAUCGCUAGUAAUCGCAGGUCAGCAUACUGCGGUGAAUACGUUCCCGGGCAUUGUACACACCGCCCGUCACACCAUGGAAGUGGUUUUGCCACGAAGUCAUUACCCUAACCGCAAGGAGGGGGAU